UACGUAGGGGGCAAGCGUUGUCCGGAAUUAUUGGGCGUAAAGGGCGCGUAGGCGGCAUGCCAAGCGUGUGGUGAAAGCCCGGGGCUCAACCCGGGUCGGCCGUGCGGACUGGCGUGCUUGAGCACUGUAGGGGCGGGUGGAAUUCCGGGUGUAGCGGUGGAAUGCGUAGAGAUCCGGAGGAACACCGGUGGCGAAGGCGGCUCCUGGACCGACACUGACGCUGAGGCGCGAAAGCCUAGGGGAGCAAACGGG
rnacentral:rRNA from 1 species